rnacentral:rRNA from 1 species
UACGUAGGGUGCGAGCGUUAAUCGGAAUUACUGGGCGUAAAGCGUGCGCAGGCGGUUAUGUAAGACAGGUGUGAAAUCCCCGGGCUUAACCUGGGAACUGCAUUUGUGACUGCAUAGCUAGAGUACGGUAGAGGGGGAUGGAAUUUCGCGUGUAGCAGUGAAAUGCGUAGAUAUGCGGAGGAACACCGAUGGCGAAGGCAAUCCCCUGGACCUGUACUGACGCUCAUGCACGAAAGCGUGGGGAGCAAACCGG